UUUCAAAUUAAAUGAACAAAUGUUAAAAACCAUAUGUAUGUACAUAAAAAUCAUGAUAAAAUUCAAAAGCCAUUCAUGACUAAAAAGUCUCAGAAAACUGGGAAUUGAGAGAAACUUAAUUUGGUAAAAGGUAUCUUCAAAAUAUCUACAGCAAACAUCAUGCUUAUAGUGAAGUAUGGAAAGCUUUCACUCUGAGUUCAGAAAUAAGAAAAUGUUGUUUGCUAUCACCACUUCUAUUCAACAUUGUACUUCACAAACAGCAUGAAUUACACAUAGAAAAAUCCAAGUGAAUUUAUGGAAUAAAGAAUCCAUAAAUGGAUUUAGUGAGGUUGCUGAAGCAAGAGGUUUGUCUUUUUUUUUUCUUUUUCCUUCUAAGACAGGGUGUCUCACUCUGUCGCCCAGGCUGGUCUCAAACUCCUGGGCUCAAGCAAUCCUCCUGCCUUGACCCAAAGUGCUGGGAUUAUAGGCAUGAGCUACUGUACCUGGCCUUUGAAGCAAUAUUAAUAUACUAAAAUAAAUUUUUUCAAGAAACAAUUAGAAAUGGAAUUUAACAAAAUAUUUAUAAUACCAUAAACAAAUAUCUAGGAAUGACUAUUAAAUUAUGUGUAAGACUUCCACUCGGAAAAUCAUAAAACACUGAGAAAUUAAAGAAAACCAAAACAAAUGGAAGGAUCUACUAUGAUCACAGGUUGGAUGAUUCAUAAUUAGAACGAUGUCCUGUCUAUCCAAGCUGAUCUAUAGAUACAAUGCAAUACCAAAUGAAAUUGCAAUAGAAUUUUUGUUUUUUUUGUUUUUUUGAGAGAAAUGGUCUUGCUCUGUUGCCCAGGCUGGAGUGCAGUGGUGUGAUCACAGCUCACUGCAGCCUCAACCUGGGCUCAAGUGAUUCUUCCACCCCAGCCCCUUAAGUAGCUGGAACUGCAGGCAUGUGCCACCACGGCCAGCUAAUUUUAAAUUUUGUUGUAGAGACUGUAGAGAUGGGGUCUCCCUAUGUUGCCCUGGCUUGUCUUGAACUCCUGAGCACAAGCAAUCAUUCUGUCUUGGCCUCCCAAAGUGCUGGGAUCACAGGCGUGAGCCAAUGCAACCAGCCUGAUUUUUUAAAACGGCAAUUGACAUUAAAAGUUUAAGAGUUGAUUUUUAAAAUUCACAUGUAAGUACAAAUGGCCAAGCUCUUCCUAAUUAAAAAAUAAAAAAGGGUUGAUGGACUUGGACUCCUAGGAAUAAAGACUUAUUAAAGGCAGGGUAAUUAUAAUAAACAGAAACAGUGCAGUGGCAGAAGGCCAAAGGAGCAGAACCGGGACUCGAGGCCCCCACACAUGCCACUGCCUGCUCUGUGAAGAGAAGCAUUGCAGGCCAUAGAAGCUCCUUCCUGUACCCGCUCCCGGACAACGGGAUACACACACUGAAAGCCCUAAAGAAACUUUACCCUGCUUCACACCACAGCAGAAAUAACUCACAGGUGGAUUAUGGACAGAAACAUGAAAAGUUAAAAUAAUAACAUCUCUAGAUGAUAAAAAAAAGAAUAUGGCAAAGAUUUCUUAAGAGGACUCAAGAAACAAUGACAUAAAGAAACAAAUGGCAAAUAAGCUUCAUUAAAGUUAAGAGCUUCUGUUUAUCCAAAGACCACGAAGAGAGCUUAAACUCAGUCACAGAGCUGGAGACAAAAUCCGUAAUACUCGUAUGUAAUGAAAGGCUCGAAGACUCCUAAACAUUGACUUAAAUAGAGGGAGAGACCAAACAGAAAAAUGAGCAAACUCAUUUUGAAAUGGCACUUCAAAAAAAGCAAGAUUUUAAAAUGUAUGAACUCAUUUUCCACCAGGGAAAUCAGGGAAAUGUAAAUUAAAACACCGUUCUAUGUUAUUACAGACGCACAAGAAUGGCUGAAGGCUUAAAAAUGGACAAUACCGAAUGGAGGCAAGGUGUGGUGUGAAUGGAAGCCUCCUGCCCUGCUAGUGGGAAUCUCUUCUUGGGAACCUCGGCCCUGCUUACUUAGGACAGCUCAGAGAAGAGCACAGAGUAGUCCUGGCCAGAUCCCUUCUCCUUGCUAUUCCUCAUCCUUCCCGACUCCACUCACGAGAAUAUGUCAUUAACCACCACCCUCACCUCACCUAACCACCACUCUCAACUUAUCUAACCCGUACUCACUUCAACUACCACCCUCACCUCACCUAACCAUCACAUCACUUCACCCAACUACCACCCUCACCUCACCUAACCACAAGUCUCAUCUAACCCAUACUCCACCUAACCAUGACCCUCACCUCAUCUAACCUCCAUUCUCAACUCAUCUAACCAUCCCCUUCACCUAACCACCAUCUCACUUCACCUAACAGUCACCUUCACUUCACCUAACCACUCUCCUCACCUUAUCUAACCACCACUAUCAACUCAUCCAACCCAUCCUCACUUCACUUACCCACCACCCUCACCUCACGGAACCCAUCUUCACCUCACCUAACCACUAACCUCACCUCACCUAAUCACCACCUUCACCUCACCUAACCAUCACCCUCACCUCACCUAAUCACCACCUUCACUCACCUAACCACUAACUUCACCUCACCUAAUCACCACUCUCAACUUACCUAAUCUGUACUCACUUCACCUAACCACCCCCACUCACCUCGCCUAACCAUCACUUCACCCAACCACCACCCUCACCUCAAGCCUCAUCUAACCCAUACUUCACCUAACCAUGACCCUCACCUCAUCCAACCACCAUUCUCAAUUCAUCUAACCAUCUCCUUCACCUAACCACCAUCUCACUUCACCUAUCAACUUCACUUCACCUAACCACUCUUCUCACCUAACCACCACUCUCAAUUCAUCUAACCCAUACUCACUUCGCUUACCCACCAUAUUCACCUCACUUAUCCAUAACUCUUACCUCACCUAACUGCCACCCUCACAUCAUCUAACAACCACCUUCAUCUCCACCUAACCACUUUACUCACUUUAUCUAGCCACCACCCUCACCUCAUCCAACACAUACUCCCUUCACUUACCCACCACCUGACUCACCUCAUGGAACCCAUCUUCACCUCACCUAACCACUAACCUCACUUCACCUAACCACCACUCUGAACUCAUCUAACCUAUAUUCACUUCAACUAACCACAGCCUGCACCUUACCUAACCCACCCUCACCUCACCUAACAGCCACCCUCACAUCACGUAACCACCACCUUCACUUUGUGGUGGAAAGCAGUUUGCUGAUUUCUCAAAGAACUUAGAACUACCAUUCAACCUGGCAAUACCAUUACUGGCUAUAAACCCAAAGGCACAGAAAUCAUUCUAGCAAAAAGACAUGCCCAUCAACAGCCCUAUUCACAAAGCAAAGACAUGGAAUCAAUACGUCUCCAUCAAAGGUGGACUAGAUGAAGAACAUGUGGUACAUACAGAGCAUGGAAUAUUACGCAGCCACAAAGACUGAAAUCACGUCCUUUGAAGCACCAUGGAGGCAGCUGGAGGCCAUCAUCCUAAGCCAAUUAGCACAGCAACAGAAAACCAAAUACCACGUGUUCUCGUAAGUGGGAGCAAAACACGGUACUCAGGGAGGAGAAAU
rnacentral:lncRNA from 1 species